ACCAGACUCCUACGGGAGGCAGCAGUGGGGGAUAUUGCACAAUGGGGGAAACCCUGAUGCAGCGACGCCGCGUGGGCGAAGAAGUAUUUCGGUAUGUAAAGCCCUAUCAGCAGGGAAGAAGAAAUGACGGUACCUGAGUAAGAAGCACCGGCUAAAUACGUGCCAGCAGCCGCGGUAAUACGUAUGCAGCAAGCGUUAUCCGGAUUUACUGGGUGUAAAGGGAGCGCAGGCGGCACGGCAAGCCUGAUGUGAAAGCCCGGGGCCCAACCGCGGAACUGCAUUGGAAACUGCCAGGCUGGAGUGCGGGAGAGGUAGGCGGAAUUCCUGGUGUAGCGGUGAAAUGCGUAGAUAUUAGGAGGAACACCAGUGGCGAAGGCGGCCUACUGGAC
rnacentral:rRNA from 1 species